rnacentral:rRNA from 1 species
UACGUAGGUCCCGAGCGUUGUCCGGAUUUAUUGGGCGUAAAGCGAGCGCAGGUGGUUUAUUAAGUCCGGUGUAAAAGGCAGUGGCUCAACCAUUGUAUGCAUUGGAAACUGGUAGACUUGAGUGCAGGAGAGGAGAGUGGAAUUCCAUGUGUAGCGGUGAAAUGCGUAGAUAUAUGGAGGAACACCGGUGGCGAAAGCGGCUCUCUGGCCUGUAACUGACACUGAGGCUCGAAAGCGUGGGUAGCAAACAGG